rnacentral:rRNA from 1 species
AUUGAACGCUGGCGGCAUGCUUUACACAUGCAAGUCGAACGGUAACAGGUUAAGCUGACGAGUGGCGAACGGGUGAGUAACGCAUCGGAACGUGCCCGAUCGUGGGGGAUAACGCAGCGAAAGCUGCGCUAAUACCGCAUAAGAUCCGAGGAUGAAAGCGGGGGACUUUAUAGCAAUAUGAGGCCUCGCGCGAUCGGAGCGGCGGAUGUCAGAUUAGGUAGUUGGCGGGGUAAAGGCCCACCAAGCCGACGAUCUGUAGCUGGUCUGAGAGGACGACCAGCCACACUGGGACUGAGACACGGCCCAGACUCCUACGGGAGGCAGCAGUGGGGAAUUUUGGACAAUGGGCGCAAGCCUGAUCCAGCAAUGCCGCGUGCAGGAAGAAGGCCUUCGGGUUGUAAACUGCUUUUGUACGGAGCGAAAAGGUCUUCUCUAAUAAAGAAGGCUGAUGACGGUACCGUAAGAAUAAGCACCGGCUAACUACGUGCCAGCCGCCGCGGUAACAC